CCCUCCGGUCUCCCAUACAAGGUAUCGGAGGAAUGCGGCUCUUGGAAGUCCAUCCGCUUCAUAAGGAGAACAGAGGGGUCCAUGUGAUGACGAUAGUUAGUGUUCUGGAGAUCCGCAGCGAAGACCUCCUCUCAUACACGACAUGGCGUCUCCCGCUCAGAACGCUGCCUGGUCCUCACAACACACACAGAUGGAUGACAGGAGAGGCCGCAGAGGGGUUGCGAUGGAGAUGAGGAGACCGAAGAUGGACAUCAAUCUGGAGCAGCAUUGAGAUGAGAUGUGCAUGGAGCAAAGAGGUGACUAUCAACAACACACACACGCACACACACACACACACACACAAACACACACACACGCACACACACGCACACACACACACACACACACACACACACACACACACACACACACACACACACACACACACACACACACACACACACUAUUGUAUUUGUUACCUUCUUGAGACCUCCGAAAAAUUUGCUUAUCUAUUUAGGACCACCCUUUCUAGAUAGAUAAAGAUUUGUAUUUACAACAUUAAUAAUAUAUACAUACUAUGAAAAUAUAAAAAAGGUAAGCUUUUAGUUAUUUUUUUUUGAAUUUUUUGUUUGUAAUUGGUUUUUAAUCUUCAUUAUUUACUUCAAGUUAUAUACAUAUUUUAUUUUUUGUAUUAAUUUUGGCCAAAGGGGGCGCAUUUCAAUUUCUUACACACACUUGUUAUUUCAUAUGCUGGCCAGAGGGGGAGCACUUUUAAAACCGACACACAGUCAAUUUGAAAAAUCCCUCCUUUUUGGGACCACACUAAUUCUGAUAGAUUUCACCACCAGGGGUGCAAAUUAGAUCUCUAUUUAUUGUUUUUUGUAAUGUGCUUAAGGCCGAUGACAAACAGACCACAGAUGGCCCCUGUGCCGCUCUUUGGGCAACCCAGCUGUAAAAGCUAACUGUUAAUGGCCACUAUAGGCUUAGUACCGUAGUGUAUUUGUUCAUCCUAUGGUCACAUAUGGGACGCGGGUUAUCUUACGUCAGCACCACCACCAAAAAAUCCUGACUUUGGAGCAAUGUUCACGGACUCUAGUAUUUGGCUCUCUGUUAGAUGCAAUGGGUUUCCGUAUUGGGACCUAACUUGUUCACCGGUCCUCACAUGGAAGGCGCUUUUCCUUGUUGAUGUCUCAAGAAGGGUAGAAAUACAAGAACACACACACACACACACACACACACACACACACACACACACACACACACACACACACACACACACGUUUCUUUUACAGCGUCAAAGUAGUGCCUACGUGUAAUUGGAGAAGGAAAAGCACUUAACGCCACAGGAAGUCACAUAAGUCCAGAGUUCAAGUAGUUUCCUGUUAACCCCCCCGCCCUCCAUGUAAAAGUGUAUUUGCACACUCCCUGUGGCCCAUGGUGCAGUGCUGCAUCUCUGGUCAGUUGGUAGUCUGAGAUGAAGCACUGUAGCUCGGGACCAAGGACCCACACACUGGCCUCCACGCCACCAGGUGCACUAAUUGACCGGGGAGCAUUACUUUAACUUUGUCAAUCUUACCAUCUGCCAGUGACGAUGAUGAUGAAUGUUUGAUUUGUAUCUCCUCUCUCCUGGGGUCCAGUUUUCCCAGGAAUCCCUUGAGCUGUCCAAAAAAAGGGGGAUUCCUGGAAAUACUGUUCUUAGGGGCGGGGCCAAGCAUCAGUUUAUUAUUAGUAUUAAAAUUAAUUGAAUUGUUUCCAGGGCUAUUAAACAAUGAUAUUAUUCUCUGUAAAACAUGUAAUGAAAUGAAAUAAAAAUGUGAAUAAAAUGUCUGGAAAGAAAAUAAUAAUAUGUUUGAACUCAUGAUGUAAACUUGCUAAUGGAAUUAUGAUGGAGCAACAUUAUAGAAAUAAAUUCUGCUACGAUGA